rnacentral:tRNA from 1 species
GGGAAUGUGGCUUAGUGGUAGAGCGCUUGCCUAGCAUACAUGAGGCCCUGGGUUCAAUUCCUCAGUACCA